rnacentral:misc_RNA from 1 species
AUGGCAGCCGUAGUUGCUACGCUGUGGACUGAAGGUACUGUCAAUGUCAAAUAAUAGGGAAAAUAUCUGAGCUUUUGAGGGCAAUUUAAACAGAGCAUUUGGCUAUUUUCUUCCCAUUCUCUGCAACGCCAAAAUGCCAGUUUUUCUCAUCCUAUUUCAGUGACUUAUAGAAACUACCAUGGAUAAUCGUUCAAUCAGCCUCAUAAAUUUUGUAUCUCUGCUUUUCCAUUUUCUUAUAAGCAUCUGCCUCACCAAUGCCCUGUACUGUUAUCAGACAGGAAACUUCACAACCAAUAGCACCUAUGCAAAGAACCGGGCUCUGGUCCUCUCUUCUCUAGCUUCAAAUGUCACGGCAAAUGGUGGUUUCUACACCGCCACAGUGGGCCAAGGCACGGAUAAAGUUUAUGGUCUGGUGCUUUGCAGAGCGGACACUCCAUCAGAUGCUUGUUCCAAGUGUGUCAAUACGACAAUUACGGAAUUAAUUGAAAAGUGUCCUAACCAGAAAGAAGCAAUUUCAUGGGGUGGGGAUCCUCCUUGUAUUAUACGGUACGCAAACCGCUCAAUUUUUGGAUUACUGGAGCUAGAACCUACUGAUGCUGGGUAUAAUGUCAAUAACAUCACAUCUAAUAUGGAAGAGUUUGAUCAGACAUGGGGCGGUUUGAUGUCUCGCAUCGUAACAAAAGCUUCCAUGGGCUCUUCUAAGGUGAAAUUUGCAACUGAAGAAGCAGACUUAACACCUUUUCAGAAAAUAUACGCAUUGAUGCUGUGCACUCCUGAUAUGUCCCAGAGUAAUUGCAGCUAUUGCCUACGAGAGGCAGUGGGAUUUUAUCAAUCUUGUUGCCAUGGGAAGCAAGGAGGUUAUGUUCAGAAACCUAACUGUAUUUUCCGAUGGGAUUUGUAUCCAUUCUACAAUUCUAUUGCUGAUGCUCUGCCUCCAACACCUCCACCCAGUAUUUCUCCCCCCUCAACCAACAAUACAAUAAGCAAAGAGAACGGAACGGCAACUACUCGAACUGUUGUUAUCAUCACUGUUCCUGCAAUUGUCUUCGCAGCUCUUGUUGCCCUCACUUGCAGUCUUUUCUAUUAUAGGAAGUCCAAGCAAGAAACCAAAAGUAAGUUAUUCCUAAUUACUAGUUAUUAUGUUAUCCCACAGCAAGAGCCUGGAUUCACCAAAAGAUCAUCAUUUUUCCAUAUGAUUAACCUUGCUCUUAAGGCAGCAAAUAAAUUUUGAAUCUUGUGAAAUCAUUAUUUAAAUUAUGUUCUUGUUACAUGCAUACAUAAUAAUUCUUCAUUGAUAAGGUGAAGAUUUGGACGAAAAUAAAAGCAAAGAAUGCUUGAAAUUCAAUUUUGAGACUAUCAGACUUGCAACAGAAGACUUCUCUGAUCAUAAUAAGCUUGGACAAGGUGGAUUUGGUGCUGUUUACAAGGGUGUGCUUUCAGAUGGACAAGUAGUAGCAGUAAAGAGGCUAUCAAGGAACUCUAAGCAAGAAGAAGUUGAUAUUAAGAACGAGGUCAUGCUAGUGGCCAGGCUUCAACACAGGAAUUUGGUUAGACUCUUGGGUUUCUGUUUUGAAGGACAUGAAAGGCUUCUCAUAUAUGAAUAUGUUCCAAAUUCAAGUCUCGACCAUUACAUAUUUGAUCGAGAGAAGCGUUUACUAAUAAAUUGGGGCACACGCUACAAAAUUAUAGUGGGCAUAGCUCGAGGAAUUCUUUAUCUUCAUGAAGAUUCUCAACUUCGGAUUAUUCAUCGUGAUCUCAAAGUCAGUAAUAUUCUACUAGAUGAAGAAAUGAAUCCCAAAAUUUCAGACUUU